CGAUACUGGAUCGUACCAGGUUUCAACCAUAUUUCAUAUAUUUCGGUAGUUUUGACCAGUUUCGAGCAAAAAAUACCGAGUUUCGACCAGCCCAGUUUCAACCAGCCCAUGACAUUUCGAGUUUGGCC